GACGAACGCUGGCGGCGUGCUUAACACAUGCAAGUCGAACGGAGCACUUCGGUGCUUAGUGGCGAACGGGUGAGUAACGCGUGAGAAACCUGCCUUUCACAACGGGAUAGCCUCGGGAAACUGGGAUUAAUACCGUAUGAUACUCAACUCCAGCAUUGGAGAUGAGUUAAAGCGUAAAGCGGUGAAAGAUGGUCUCGCGUCCCAUUAGUUAGUUGGUGAGGUAACGGCUCACCAAGACUUCGAUGGGGUAGCCGGCCUGAGAGGGUGAACGGCCACACUGGAACUGAGACACGGUCCAG
rnacentral:rRNA from 1 species